GGAGAGCUGAUCUACAGCCUCAACUAAGUGAUCAAGCCGAGCCUCAAGCUCAAUAAUCAAGGAUGCAAAUGUGAUAGUGCUCUGGAGUCCCUUCAUCUCAGGCAUUUCUAAUGGCAGGGAAGGAAUGUCAAAGUUCUCUUCUAACAUGCUGUCUUCGAGAUCAGCCAAGUGAGUUGAGAUCUCAUCAAGUCUUUCAGUCGAGGCGUGAACCUUAGCUAGAAGACAGCCUUUAAGGCUUUGUUGCAUGCUUGAUAUAUCUUCGCCCAAAGCGCGAACUAGCUCUGCAGCCUGAGCUACUGCUUCCUGAAUCUCUUUCUGGAGUGUGAUCCUUAGAUUAUAUGGAGCCUGCAAUAAUUUAAAGAAAGCUUUCAAGAGUUCAACGUGUCACGACAAUUCUUGAUUGCAGGCUCAUCUGGGAACUCAUCUGAGACAGUCUUUGUGAACUUAAGGUAGCUCAGCCCAUCAUCUUCUAAAUACUUUCUAACACAUUCUGAAAAUUUUCCAGAUAGCUUCUGGUCACUAAUUAUCUUGUUAAAAUACAGUAAUUUUGUUUUUGUCCUUUUUUUUGUCUUUACCUUCAAGUGAGUCAGCCACUAUAUUGAAACUGGAAACAAGUUCUUUAUGUAACUGCUCCCCAGCCCAUAUUGGACAAACUAGCACAUUCACCAGGACUGCUACAAUUGCUCCAAUGGCAAUGGAGUAAAGUCUAUCCAUGGAAGUUUUUACUGGGUUUCCCAUCCGAUAUCCAGAAACAAUGAUCAAACAGGAUUUAGGUCACUUACCAAUGAGAAAGAUGCUGGUGCCUAUGAUAACAGCCUCAGCAACAGGGCCACUUCUUGAAGCUAUUUCAGCAAUGGCAGUGGCUAAUACUCCAGCAAUCAGACUUCCAAGUGCCCGGUUGAAUCCUCGAUUAAAUGUGGCACCUUAGAAGUACACGAAGGCGAGAUAAAUAAAGUUAAUCACUGCAAUUCUCAAAAACCUUUUGCAGUCAGUGUAUUCAAACAUCAUACCAACAGUGAGGAUAGACCAUAUAGCAUUGGCACCAAACACUUGAUAGGGAGCCGGAAACAAUAUCAGAAGUGAAACAAGCAGAACAGCUAGGCCAACUUUUAGGGCGAAAACCACUCUACUUGUGUCCUCUUUGCAGAAAUCUGAAACACGAGAAAACCACCCUUUGCAUUGGAAGAUAAUCUUGGAUAUCUUCUCUGCAAUUGAAGCCGGUAUAUUGAUCUCAAUACUACUACCCUUUUUUCCAUUCAUUCUCCAAUCUUAAAACCUGCACUAUGUUUAGAGUUCAACCCAAUGGAAAAAUGAGAAUAGAAGAUUUAAAGGGGAGAGUUGGAAUGAGUGGGUGAUGCAAGUAUAGGGGAGAAAGCGUGUAGGCAUCUAUCUAGCUUAGCUAUGGAGGAGAGGUGGAUGUAUGAGGGAAACAAAAUGAGACUUCAAUAAUGGAAAGGGAAGCUUGAAGUCAAAAUUCGGAUAAAAUAUGCUUUUAACCUCAAUAAUGCAGACAUUGACAGAGGAUUAUUAGAACAUAAAUAAUGAUAUGCCGAUGGAAUAUGUAGUUUAGUCCCUCA